rnacentral:lncRNA from 1 species
AGAACGGAAUGCAAUCAUUCAGGCGCGUCAUAUGUCAAUUCUGUAAAUGAGAAUCUCACUGCAGCAACAACAAAAUAAUAUGUCCAGCAGUCACACACAAGCAUUCUGUUUAUUUCACACUCCCAAAGCAAGACAAAUACAACGUCUGCAGAAGUAUGUACUGCGUGCUUCAUACGGAGCAUCGAUGGCUGAUCAAUGUACAGGUGCAGAAUACCAAGAGAGAUUUCAGGUUACCUAGACACUCUGCAGGAAAAAAAAAGGCAGGUUGGUUCAGGAGCUUGAAGAAAGAUUGUAUGCAAGAAUUAUAAAUCACCAGAGAAGGAAGUUCUAAUUGUUCGUUUUAAUGUCACGUAGCAGGGCUGGCGCACAGUGGAAGGGCAUACAAUAGCAACUUGGAGCAGCAACGACAACUUGGAAAAUAUCAUAAACAAUGGAGUCCCAUCUUAUUAGAUUUAAACCGCUUUAUCUAUUUAGAAAUGUAAGCCACAUGUUAAUAGUGAAAAGAAACAAAUAGAAUAAUAGCCCAUUUUUGUGAAGGUCUGGUGCCAGAUCAGAUGUGUCAUCAUAGCCACAGCAUAAACAGACAGGUUCAUACAGAAAUUGGAAAGACCAAUGAAUCUCAGUAACGCAUGCAAUCUUGAUAAAUAUUCUGCUAUCUUAGUUUUCAAUUUUUCAUCAUUAUUAUUCACGAUUGGUCAACUAGACAUGGAAAAGUUCAAAUAAGGAGCCCUGGAACAGCCCAAAACAUGACAUGGAUUUGCCUGCGCAGAACAAACUUCUGCAAGAGGACAGCAUAGUGGACUAUAGCCCUAAAAUUGACAGAUAAAUCUUCAUCCAGUCGUAUUCAGAUUUCACAAGGCUGUACAGAAUGUUAGUUUAGCACAUCUAAUAGCUUGGGUACCCACAUCUGAAGAGGCUUCAUCUCUAACUGGAAUUAUACAAACAAAACAAAAUGGUGAGGACAAUUCGAGUGAGCCCUCUAGCUGCAUCUUGUGAUGACCUCAAUCAGAUCGAAGCUACUCUGGAGAACUACAACUACUGCCCAAACUAAGCAGAUUCUUACGGCAUCUAUCAUCCAAAGCAUGGGAAUAUUGGUACGACUUAUAAUUUGGCUUCAGCCCAAUAGGGCAAUCUGCCAAACCAGCAGUUUUGUCACCAAAUUCCUUUGGUGGCUGAGCAUCUCAUCACUUUGAAGUUGUGUGUGUCUUCUUAUUUGUUGUUUGCUUGUACUUGUUCAUGGUUUUUGCAAGAUUAUUCUCUAUGUUCCUAGUAUAUGGUCAAAUCAUUUGGAGUUUUGUCAUUUUAAAGUUGGGUGUGAUGUUUUUCUGUCUCAAAACAAGCGAUGAACAUUCUUAGCUGGUCACCGAUGUGGGGCAUUACUAUAGGUGUCACAAUUUUGGGAAUUUCUCUUUUGAUCAAACAAUAUUUUUAAUCUGAACUUGAAGCUGUUUUUCUUUCGGACUAUGUAUGGCCUCCUCUACCGGAGUAGUCUAUCUUUUGUAGUGGAGUGCAUGACAUUGUUGAGAGGACUUGUUCAGAUAAAUGAAGUCAAGUGUGCGAUGUGAUUGUUUAGUGAGAAACUGUAGCACAAGCUGCGAGGUGUUAGACAUCCUUCAUUUUGGGAAGGAGGGAGUACUGUUUACCUCUUUAAAGUAACCACGGUGCAUCUUAACUUCUUGUAGCAUUUUGUAUAUAUUGUCCAACUCACUUUAUGGUACCUAUCAACCUAUCUAUCCAUCAAACCUACUUCUCAUGACAGACUGUACUAGGACAACGGAGAUUAACAAAUAGCUACUACUGAUAAUUUUUGUCCAACAAGUAAAGACAUUCCCAGUUCAAAAAAAGUAAAGACAUACCUACUUGUUUGAUGUAUAACACAUUUUUUUUCUCUCUACAUAUGCCUAGGAUGCCAUGCAACGAGCGGCACAUGUAGUGAAGCUUGCAAACAAUGCAUCGUAUUAUUUUCUUGUCUUGUGUUCGGUUUCGCAUCCCCCUCAUCGAAGUAUCAGAACUUUGAGCAAAAAAACAACUUGAGAAUAUGACAAUACAAUACCUUCGGAACGAGUGACAUUGGGAAAAACAAUUCUACCAACAAGCCUCCCUUCAGCUUAAAACGGAUAAGUGCCUCUCUUCAACAAGCCCCUCUUCAGCCUAAAACGGAUCAGUGCCUCUCUUCAGCUUAGGGGUUGUUUGGUUGGGAUUCCUACCUCGAAGCCGGAAGCUGCUAUUUAGGGGCUUCUGGCUGCAGCUGUGGAACAACCUCUAAAACUGAUGAGUUUGAAGCAUUACCUCAAUCUUUCCAAUUGUGUUGACCUUCCUUUUCUGGAUUCAACAUUGACGAGGCCCACAUCUACGCUCCCGACACCAUUGGUGAUUUUGUUGGUGUUGGCUCGACUAUGCGCCGACAACAGACAAGGUCAAGCUUGAUCUGCUGACUUCUUCCUUGGUAUGCGUCUCACCUAGACCAAUUGGUCGAAGGAGGGUUAUGGGUAGGAGUUGGUCGAAGGAGGGCAGAGGGUGUGAGUUGGUCGAAAAGAAAGGCUGCAGAUGUGAGCUGGUCAGUUCUCUGAGGCAGCUUCCUGCUUGAGCCCAAGACCACUGAUGAGAAUAACCACCACAGCGGUAGCAUCUCAUGUUACUAGAUGAACCGCGUGCUUAUUGACUUUUAUUUAUCUCUCUAUAUACUACUUAAAACACAUGUAAGGUUCCUUUAUCAUCAGUUUCCACCUCCCACCAUGUCCCUCCACCAGGUUUUUCAUCCAUCCAGUUUUUCUCCACCACGACCUUUGUACGCAGCUUUCCCGUAUGCUAAUUAAUCACAUACAUUUACUUACCAUUUAUGUUAAAUCCAUGUAUUUCAGUAAUUUAUUUACCUUUUGCAUCAAUUCCACAAGCUAAGUAUCAUGCAUGUCCUAGGCUACCAAACUAUAAGGGCGCCAAAACCAAAUUCUAAUUUAGAGAGGUAAAUUAUCGGAAGGAUUUGAUAAAUAUUUAUUUACACAAUAUAUUAAUAUGGGCAAGUAAAUUGCGCCUAACUAUUAGAACAUUUUACAACACGUUGUAACGCAUGGGCAAUUAUCUAGUCAGAUUAUAGCAUUUCGAUGUGGAUAAACCUUAGGAGCAUUUGGAUGUGGUACCUCGCUUAAGCUAAACCUGGACAUGAAUCCAUGUCCUCCUACCCAAAAAUGCUCUUAUGGUUCCAAUACGCAAAUAUCAAAAGAGUAUAAUGCACUCAGGCAUGUCAGAUGCCAAUUUUAUAAAUGAGAAUGUCACUGCAGCAACAGCGAAGUAACCAAUCCGACAAUCACACACAAGCAUUCUAUUUAUUUCAAUCUCAAAGCAAGAGAAAUACGAUGUCUGCAGAAGUAUGUACUGCGUGUUUCAUGCAGAGCAUCGAUAGCUGAUCAAUGUACAGGUGAAGAAUACCAAGAGAGAUUUCAGGCUCCAUAGACACUGCAGGAGAAAAGGCAGGUUGAUUCAGGAGCUUGAAGAAAGAUUGUAUGCAAGAAUUAUAAAUCACAAGAGAAGAAAGUUCUAAUUGUUUCACUUUAAUGUC